rnacentral:rRNA from 1 species
CAGUAGCCGCGGGAAUACGUAGGGGGCGAGCGUUGUCCGAAGUUACUGGGCGUAAAGAGCGCGUAGGCGGGUCUUUAAGUGAGGGGUGAAAGGUUCGGGCUCAACCCGGACACUGCCUUUCAUACUGGGGACCUUGAGUGUGGGAGAGGCGAGUGGAAUGGUCGGUGUAGCGGUGAAAUGCGUAGAGAUGUGGAGGAACACCAGUGGCGAAGGCGACUCUCUGGUCUGUAACUGACGCUGAGGAGCGAAAGCGUGGGGAGCGAACAGGAUUAGAUACCCCCGUAGUCCCUGUCUCUUAUAC